GGGGGCUGGGCGGUUUUCUUCACAAAAAACACAUGCCUAUGCAGACGAUACACACACGAAUAUACGAAGGAGGACGCCUGGAAAAUCUAGAGGAGCUGCACAGAGGAGACUCCAGAAGGAAGGAUCUCCAGCAUUCCGCCUCUUCAACCCAAACGACCCCUCACUAGAAAACCAAUCAACCCAGCGUCACUCCCAUUAAUAGCCCCUCUGCUUAGAAGACAGGCAAAAAUAGCUCCAAAAUCACCUAUAUAACAUAUGAAAAUCACCUAAAACAGCCAUUUGAGCUCCAUGUAAACCCACUUCAAACGCCUUGAGAGUCACUGUGUGCUUUCUAGGAUUUUCCGGUUGUAAUCAUUGUUUCGCCCCCUGUUUGAUUUUUUUAUUCGCCAUUUCUGAAAUUGUGAAGCUUCAGUGGAGCAUCUAAUAAUAUUGAAGAGAUUUUUUCAAAAAAAUAGUAUUCUUAUGCUGGGUUUAUAGUCGAGCUCAUAUGGGUAGUUUUGCGAUCGAGUCGGGUUUGUUUUGAGAAUGAAUUCGCGAUUUGUUGCUGUUGUUACUCCCAGUUGCUGCUAAUUCACGUCCUUUUUGAGCUCUUGUAUAAUUGUUUGUCGCUAUCCUAUUUCCAUACCAUGUUUUCCUAUUGUUUGAUCGAGCUCGUCGCUGUUUCUGCUGUUGUUUGUUGUCGCUGAGCUCCAUUUAUACUUAUCCAACUCUUGUUGGGUACAAUCGAUUAGCUGCUUUCAUAUUUAGGUACGCAUCUGUAAAACUAUACUUUUGUUGUUGAAUUAAAUUGAAAUCUCACUUUAUGGCCUAAUACCUUUCUUUUUCUUAUAUAUGUUUGGCUGACGAUUGGAAAAUGUACUAAGAGCUAUGCUAAUCCAUCUAUAGACAUAGGUCUGCGAUUAAUUUCAGUAGGGGUUGGAUUUGGAGUUAGCAUUUAUUCUCAAUUUGCGAUUGGAAAUUAUAUUUGACAUGUCAUUUUGUUAUGUGAAUCACGUAUUCAUUGUUCUGAUUUGCCUGAGCAUGUUCAGUAGCAAAAGCUAGUUCGAACAGUCAUUUUCUAUGCCUCGAAUGCAUGUGGCUAUUUAUGGGUUUGAAGUAUGUCUUGGGUUAAGAUUUUCUCGAGUUGAAAGGGAUGAUUUGUCCGACUUAAGGUUGGUUUGAAUAAGAUUCUGUGGUGUGAGGGUUAUCAGUAAUCCUAGCGGACUAUCUUCUGUUACUGAGCUUAUAAUUGUAUAAUGCGCUCCAAACAUGGACUUAAAAGUUAAAAGGGAUGCAUUCACUUCAAAAUUAGCUUCUGUAUUUCCGUUUGCCUAUGAUUCAGCAUAUACUUAUAGUCUUCUUGAGUAAAUAGUUCAAGUGGAUUUUCAAGUGGUGGUGUUCAUAUUUUUUAAUUUAAUUAGCACUUCAAUGUCUUUAGUUUGGAUGACAAGAAUGGCUUAUUAUGCUGAAAACAAACUAUAGUUUGUUCUACUAGGACUAUAUUGGGUUGGUUCAACGAGAAUUAAGAUGGAAUACUUAAAGAUUGAAAUUGGACCGCAGCUUUUGUAGAAAAUCAUUCUAUCUAUGAUAUGUGUGCUUUGGUUGUAUUAGAAUGAUUUUC
rnacentral:lncRNA from 1 species